rnacentral:rRNA from 1 species
GACGAACGCUGGCGGCGUGCCUAAUACAUGCAAGUCGAACGAGAGCAACCGGUGCUUGCACUGGUCAAUCUAGUGGCGAACGGGUGAGUAACACGUGGGUAACCUGCCCAUCAGAGGGGGAUAACAUCCGGAAACGGAUGCUAAAACCGCAUAGGUCUUCGAACCGCAUGGUUUGAAGAGGAAAAGAGGCGCGAGCUUCUGCUGAUGGAUUGACCCGCGGUGCAUUAGCUAGUUGGUGAGGUAACGGCCCCCCAAGGCCGUGAUGCAUAGCCGACCUGAGGGGGUGAUCGGCCACAUUGGGACGGAGACACGGCCCAAACUCCUACGGGGGGAAGCAGUAGGGAAUCUUGCGCAAUGGACGCAAGUCUGACGGGGCAACGCCGCGGGAGUGAAGAAGGUUUUCGGAUCGUAAAACUCUGUUGUUAGAGAAGAACAAGUGCUAGAGUAACUGUUAGCGAAUUGACGGUAUCUAACCAGAAAGCCACGGCUAACUACGUG